GAAAUGAAGAUGUUUUGAAAUAAGUGUUCACAGGCAGUUCUCUGUAAAAGCUUUGGUGUCCCCAGAAAUUCAUACCCAUCUUUUACAGUUGCCAAGAACUAUUGUCAUGAGAUCAAAAUCGCUGUGACCCUCAGUGUUCACCAGAAUCCAAACAGUUAUAAACUGCAAUAUACAUUUCACUAAGAGGGAACAUUUAUCAUGUGUGCCCUUGCAGUGUCUUUAAGUUGCCUG
rnacentral:lncRNA from 1 species